UGUCAAAAGAUUACAUUGUAGCCAUUUC
rnacentral:sRNA from 1 species